rnacentral:rRNA from 1 species
GGUCAAGUUAUUAAGGGUGCAGGGCGGAUGCCUUGGCACUAGGAGCCGAUGAAGGACGUGAUAAGCUGCGAUAAGCUUCGGGGAGUUGCACGUAAACUUUGAUCCGAAGAUUUCCGAAUGAGGAAACUCACUUAGAGUAAUGUCUAAGUAUCAUUAAGUGAAUACAUAGCUUAAUGAGGGGAACUCAGGGAACUGAAACAUCUAAGUACCUGAAGGAAGAGAAAGAAAUUCGAUUCCGUAAGUAGCGGCGAGCGAACGCGGAUUAGCCCAAACCAAUAAAGUUUUCUUUAUUGGGGUUGCGGACAUAUCAUAACGAAGAGGUAUCGUAAUUGAAGAGGUUUGGAAAGACCCACCACAGAAGG